UACGAAGGGGGCUAGCGUUGUUCGGAAUUACUGGGCGUAAAGCGCGCGCAGGCGGUUUCUCAAGUCAGUGGUGAAAGCCCGGAGCUCAACUCCGGAACUGCCAUUGAAACUGUGAAACUUGAGGACGAGAGAGGUGAGUGGAAUUCCCAGUGUAGAGGUGAAAUUCGUAGAUAUUGGGAAGAACACCGAUGGCGAAGGCAGCUCGCUGGGACGGUACUGACGCUGAGGCGCGAAAGCGUGGGGAGCGAACAGG
rnacentral:rRNA from 1 species